AUGCACCUUGUCAAUCCCAUCACCGGUGAACAGAUUGAUCUCCCUUCGGUGAUCACCAUUGAGCAAGUGAAGCCCGUCUAUAGUGACUCUGGUGCUCUUCACAAGUACGAGUUCUCAUGGCACUCCGCAGCAAGGGUUUACGGUCCGCCAUCGGUCUCGGCUCCGGAAGAGCUGAGGAGCAAGCUUCACCAUAAAGCCUUUGUGUUUUCUGACGAUACGUGCAAUGGAUACAUUGUGGUGCUCAUACACAAUCCAUUUUGCCAGCUCUCGUUUGCAAGGGCAGGGGGUGACAGUUGGAUAUGGCUGCCACCACACACCCACUAUGACGAUUGCAUUUACAGGAACGGCCUGCUGUAUGCGGUCACUUCAUUUGGAGAGAUUCAUGCUUUCGAUCUAAGUAGCCCUGUUCUUACGGUAAGGAUGAUUACAUGGGAGCCCGAGCUUGAGGACCAGUUACUGAAUACUUACAUUGUACAAGCUCCAUGGGGAAAUCUUCUUAAAGUGUGGAGAUUAUAUGAGAACUGUGAUUUAGAACCGGGGCCUGGGGCAUGUGUGUUUUGGAACACUGGAAAACUUAUAAUAUAUGAAGUCGGUGCUUCAGGAAAGAAAAUUAAGAAAAUCAGUUGCUUGCGCGACCAUGUGUUGUUUCUUGGGCACAAUCAAACACUUUGUCUUACUGCUGAAGACUAUCCAGCUCUCAAGGGAAACCAUGCCUACUUUACCGAUGACAGUGUGCUUUGGACAAAGGGAUUCAAGAACAAUCCCCGUGAUAUCGGAAUUCUCGACUUGGGUAAUAACAGCAGGGAGGAACUUUUGUCUUCCCAGCUUUGGUCCAACUGCCCGGCUCCCGUGUGGAUUACACCCAAUCUUAGAAAGAUAAAUUUGGCUUUCAAUGAAUAG
rnacentral:rRNA from 1 species